CCCGUUUCCUUUCUGAAUAUUAUGACUGAACUAUAUGCCGCUGGACUUUUAAAAGCAAAUACUCAGUUUAGAUGUAAAGCUUUAAUUUCAAAUUAUUUGUUAUCAUGAUUAUUAAUUAUCUCUGUAAUAUUGUUCAUCUUUUAAAUUUUUAAAUAUUUGUUUAUGUUUUGUUUUUGUCGGUCUUUUCUUCUACGUAUGAUUUUAAUGUCCAUGAUGUUUUAUUUUGAAAUUGAUUUGGUCCAUCGACUAAACCAUUAGUUAUUUCAUUUGACUGAAUAACUACUAAUAUUUGCUUUAGUAUAGAGAUGAUCUAAAUUAGAUAAACAUUCAAAUCGGUAAAAUGAUGAAACUGAAGUAAGUACAUUAGUUAAAAAAACGCCGGGUACACGUAAACCAGGAAAAAAGAAAAAUAAUGAAAUAUACGUAAAUAAUGUCAGGUGAAAUCAUACCAGGAAGAAGGGAAGAAUCAUGCGAGAGAGAGGGUCAAAAUAAUUUUUAAAUAACACAUGUUUCUCUCUCACCUUUUCCUCCCUCGAUAACAACGGCUGUGUUUUCUUUGCAAUCUCCAGCAGCACUACACUCCGUUGAAAAUAGCAUUCCAUAUUCUAAUUUGAAUUCAGUAGUAUCAGACUUAUAACUCCACCAGUUGGGUAAAAAAAAUCCAGCAAAUUGAACAAUAGUUGCUAAAAUAGUUAACACAAAAGCUGCAAUAUCUAGAAUCCGUAUCUUUGGUUUGGACAUAUUUAGAUGUUUAAAAGAUUAUCCAAGACACAGUUUUCACUAAAAAAAAAUUAUACUACAAUGUUUGUAUUAUACUAAACAUCCUCGUUGAAAAGUAUAUCUCUAAUAAACCUGACUUCCGUAUAAAGGAAGUGAUCUAACCAUGUCAGUUCUCGUUUUAAACUGUGUACUUAUUAUUUCCGUCUUUAACAAGCCUUAAACAAUUAAAAUUAUAAAAUUCGAAAAUAUGCACAUUCUCAAUGUUCAGUGUAAAAGGAAAUUGAUAACGACAUUGUUAUGUCAUUUUUAAUUUUAUAUACUAGUAAACUAACAGAAAUUAUACACCCUGUUAAAGUAGAAAGACUACACGUUUAUAUGACAUUUAAGUUAUUUUUGAUUAUUCAGUAAACGACUCACGCGCCCUCGGCACUCC
rnacentral:lncRNA from 1 species